ACGUGAUCUGAGUUCAGACCGGAGYAAUCCAGGUCAGUUUCUAUCURUAAGAYGUUUCUUCUAGUACGAAAGGACCAAAGAAACAUGGCCAAUGUAUCACACAAGCCAUCUUUAUUAAAUUAUGACAACUUAAUUAUUCCCAAACCCCCAUUUUACCCAAGAAAAGGAUA
rnacentral:rRNA from 1 species